rnacentral:rRNA from 1 species
GAUGAACGCUGGCGGCGUGCCUAAUACAUGCAAGUCGAGCGAACAGACGAGGAGCUUGCUCCUCUGACGUUAGCGGCGGACGGGUGAGUAACACGUGGAUAACCUACCUAUAAGACUGGGAUAACUUCGGGAAACCGGAGCUAAUACCGGAUAAUAUAUUGAACCGCAUGGUUCAAUAGUGAAAGACGGUUUUGCUGUCACUUAUAGAUGGAUCCGCGCCGCAUUAACUAGUUGGUAAGGUAACGGCUUACCAAGGCAACGAUGCGUAGGCGACCUGGGAGGGGGGUCGGCCACCCUUGAACUGAGACCCGGUCCCAGCUCCUUCGGGAGGCACCAGUAGGGAAUCUUCCGCAAUGGGCGGAAACCUGGCGGAGCAACGCCGCGUGAGUGAUGAAGGUCUUCGGAUCGUAAAACUCUGUUAUUAGGGAAGAACAAAUGUGUAAGUAACUAUGCACGUCUUGACGGUACCUAAUCAGAAAGCCACGGCUAACUACGUG